GGAGGGGUGCCGGAGUGGUUGAUCGGGGCGGUCUCGAAAACCGUUGUACGUCUUUUGGCGUACCGUGGGUUCGAAUCCCACCCCCUCCGCCA
rnacentral:tRNA from 1 species